GGGAACUUGCCUUUGGGUGGGGGAUAACCAUGGGAAACUGUGGCUAAUACCGCAUGACGUCUACGGACCAAAGUGGGGGAUCUUCGGACCUCACGCCCAAGAUAGGCCCAAGUGAGAUUAGCUAGUUGGUGGGGUAAAGGCUCACCAAGGCGACGAUCUCUAGCUGUUCUGAGAGGAUGAUCAGCCACACUGGGACUGAGACACGGCCCAGACUCCUACGGGAGGCAGCAGUGGGGAAUAUUGCACAAUGGGGGAAACCCUGAUGCAGCCAUGCCGCGUGUGUGAAGAACGCCUUCGGGUUGUAAAGCACUUUCAGUGGUGAGGAAGGUUGGUAGUUUAAUACGCUACCAAAUUGACGUUAGCCACAGAAAAGCACCGGCUAACUCCGUGCAACAGCCGCGGUAUACGGAGGUGCGAGCGUUAUCCAAU
rnacentral:rRNA from 1 species